UACGGGGGGGGCGAGCGUUGUUCGGAAUUACUGGGCGUAAAGGGUUCGUAGGUGGCCUGCUAAGUCAGACGUGAAAUCCCUCAGCUUAACUGGGGAACUGCGUCUGAAACUGGCGGGCUUGAGUGCAGGAGAGGAACGCGGAAUUCCAGGUGUAGCGGUGAAAUGCGUAGAUAUCUGGAGGAACACCGGUGGCGAAGGCGGGUCUCUGGGCAGUAACUGACGCUGAGGAGCGAAAGCGUGGGGAGCGAACAGG
rnacentral:rRNA from 1 species